CUGCAAUGAUGACCAGCUUAGGACACCUUUGGAAUCCUCAUGAAAACAGCUAAGUGAUUCUGAGCAGU
rnacentral:snoRNA from 2 species